rnacentral:rRNA from 1 species
AUUGAACGCUGGCGGCAGGCCUAACACAUGCAAGUCGAGCGGAUGAAGGGAGCUUGCUCCUGGAUUCAGCGGCGGACGGGUGAGUAAUGCCUAGGAAUCUGCCUGGUAGUGGGGGAUAACGUCCGGAAACGGGCGCUAUUACCGCAUACGCCCUGAGGACGAAAGUGGGGGAUCUUCGGACCUCACGCCAUCAGAUGAGCCUAGGUCGGAUUAGCUCGUUGGUGGGGUAAAGGCCUACCAAGGCGACGAUCCGUAACUGGUCUGAGAGGAUGAUCAGUCACACGGGAACUGAGACACGGUCCAGACUCCUACGGGAGGCAGCAGUGGGGAAUAUUGGACAAUGGGCGAAAGCCUGAUCCAGCCAUGCCGCGUGUGUGAAGAAGGUCUUCGGAUUGUAAAGCACUUUAAGUUGGGAGGAAGGGCAGUAAGUUAAUACCUUGCUGUUUUGACGUUACCAACAGAAUAAGCACCGGCUAACUUCGUG